rnacentral:rRNA from 1 species
GACGAACCGUCCAAACGUUGUUCGGAAUCACUGGGCUUAAAGGGCGCGUAGGCGGGUUCCCAAGUCGGUGGUGAAAUCUUUCGGCCCAACCGGAAAACAGCCGCCGAUACUGGGGACCUCGAGGGAGGUAGGGGUCGAGGGAACUUCCGGUGGAGCGGUGAAAUGCGUAGAUAUCGGAAGGAACGCCGGUGGCGAAAGCGCUCGACUGGACCUCUUCUGACGCUGAGGCGCGAAAGCCAGGGGAGCAAACGGG